rnacentral:lncRNA from 1 species
UUUAAAAGCCUGAGUUGUGUGUUAAAAUGUCAUUCAAUGAUACUUUGGCUCUGAAAGAAGUAUUUGACUUUUAAGCAGUAUUCUGUAGCAAAUUCAGAUUUUUGAAACUUCAGCUUUAUAGCAAAGACAGCUUGUGAACAUUACUGUUCACUUUUGAGUUCAUAUUCCCCUAGGGAGGUAAAUAGAUAAUAUUCAGAGGUGAAUAAAGGUGCUAUAGACAUUCACAUACAGGUCUUCCUAUGGGCAUAUGUUUUCAUUUACCUUCAGCAAACAUCUAGGAGUGAGAGUGUUGAGUCUUAGAGUAAAUAGAUAUUUAACUUUAUAGGAAGCUGCCUGACGAUUUUCAAUGNNNNNNNNNNNNNNNNNNNNNNNNNNNNNNNNNNNNNNNNNNNNNNNNNNNNNNNNNNNCCCCCCCCCAUUUGGGAUGUUGUCUUUUCAUUGUAUCCAUUCUGGGAGGUGACUUGUUACUCUAAUUUGCAUUUCUUGAGUGACUCUCAGUGUUGAAAAACUUUUCAUAUGCUUAUUAGUCAUCCAUAUAUUUUCUCUAGUGAAGUAUUUCUUUACACUUCUUGCCAUUUCUUAGUGGGAUUUUUAUCUUUUCUCUCAGUGUUGAAAAACUUUUCAUAUGCUUAUUAGUCAUCCAUAUAUUUUCUCUAGUGAAGUAUUUCUUUACACUUCUUGCCAUUUCUUAGGGUUUUUUUUUUUUUUUUUUUUUUUUUUUUUUUUGAGUUGUAAGAGUAUUUUAUAUCAUCUGGAUACAUGCCCUAUACCAGGUUUAUUCCAAUUCUUUUCUCCAACCCUGUGGCUUGUCUUCAAAGGCUCAGCUUUUCUUUCUGUAUAAAAAAUUACGAACUGUGUUCCACAGAGCAUCAGAAUUCUGCAGAACCACCUGGAACUGCUGCGGUUUGCCUGACUAAGUCGCUUGAAAGAAUAAUCUGUUCAGAGCUCUUCAAGAGAAGAGGGUUGUGGAUUUUUAAAAAUUAUUUUGGUUGCUUCAUAACAAAAUAUCGAAAUACCAAGUUUCUGAUCUUCACCAAAUGAUCCUUUUACUUACCCGAAGGAAAAAAAUUGGAAGUACUUGGAUCAGCUUCUUUUCUUGAACCUUCUAUUUCAAAUCUGAUGGUAAGUUCAAAGGCAAGCAAUUGUUUUUCGGAUUUUGACAUUGAUUUGUAUAGAAUCAACUUCCAAACCUUCAAGAGCAACUCUUGUACAUUAACUUUGACUCUUUGCUCCCUGUAAUUGAU